GAUUUUACAAGAGAUAAAGUAGUGGAAUAUUUACUUGAAAUAACGUUCAUCAUCAAUGCUGAAGUUUACAGAAGACAAAAAUAUAGAACUCAUUUGUUCAUAGACAGCCCCAGGACACACACAGUGGAUGCAUUGUGUUCUCCUGGGUUGCAUAACUACUUUGAAAGAAGUUUUCUUUUCUGUGUCAUAAAAGAAGACUUUUUGGCUCUGCCAGGAUACUCUACCAUUUGGCCCCACAGACUUCAAGCAUGCCUGAAGAUAUGUGCCAAUUGGUUGUUGGUUUUUGAAAAUCCUUCUGAUCUCUGCUGAGUUACCCAAUUGGACUCAGAAGGGUCUGACCCACGUGCCACAUUCCAGCUGUUUGCUUGUUUGUUUUUAAUCUCAACCUGGUUUAAUGGGAAGAAGGUGAGUCACCUUGUGUGUAUGUCAGCUGAUAUUUGUGUCAUGGAAACUUAAAGGGGAUAGACUCGAAAUUGAAAAGAUAAGAUUGUGAUUGAAUGGGCCUUGUAUAAACUAUGUUUUGUUAUUGUUCUCUUGCUUACUUACCUUGUAAACAGAUUCCUUGAGUCUUAAACCAAGGAUCUUAAUCUUUGGUACUUACAGAGCGUUUCUUCCAUGAAGCAGAGUUAUUUAGGAUGCUGCCAGCAAAUGAGCUCUCAAUUAGAUCUGUCGUCAUCAUCAUAGAACUUACUAUGGUCUGAUAGUAUUCAAAGUGCUUACUUCAAUUAAUUUCUGGAAACAAUUUCACACAUUUGACUCUAUGUAUUUUUCCAUCUCAUGGUAAGGAAACAGACACAAAAAGGCCAAAUGACUUUUUCAAGGACAUUCAGCUAGGAAAGGGCAAAGACAGGCACAGAUGAAGACAUAAUCACAGGCACAAACGACGUGUCUGAUAAUAGAGAUCCUAGGGAUCUGUGAAUGUCAAUAGGAAUUACAAAUAUGAAAAUUAUUUGUUGAAUCAACAAAGUGGAAAUAAAACUAUUUUUUCUUAGCUGAUUUGGUAAUGACUAACAGUCAACAUACCUAUUAAGUGGUUUUGGUUGAAAUAAUUUAAUUUGUUGUUAAUAAUAGUUCCCCCCUUUAAAUGUAAUGAUACAGUUCCAAUAUCUCGAUGAACAAAUAAAAUAGGAGAAAAAAUUCUAUAUUUUAGUCAUUUCUGCUUAUGGCCUUAAUUUCAGAUUCCAGAAAUCCAUUACUAAGUAGUUAUAAAGCAAUUACAGUCAUUAGACUAGCCCAGGAUGGCUGGACAAAGUUGAAUAUUUCAUGACUAAAAACAACAACCAGGCACAAUGGCUCACACCUAUAAUCCUAGCACUUUGGGCGGCUGAAAUGGGUGGCUGGCUUAAGCCUGGAGUUCGAGACCAGCCUGGCAAUAAACAGAGAUCUUGUCUCUACAAAAGAUACGAAAAUUAGUUGGUGUGGUGUUGUGUGCUUGUCGUCGCAGCUACUUUGGAGGCUGAGAUGGGAGGAUCACCUGAGCCCAGGAGGUUGAGAUUGCAGUGAGCUAAAAUCGUGCCACUGCAUUCUGUCGCUGCACUCCAGCAGCCUGGGUGACAGAGUGAGACCCUAUCUCACAACAAAACAAAACAAACAAAUCAAUUCUCACUUAAAAUAAACAUACCUAAGACAUCAUUGUAUAUUUUAAAUUCUUUCUAAUUAGAGCAAUGUUACUGAAUAUAUUUUAAAGAGGCUUAUUAUAAACAAGAUACUUACAAGGUCAUUGUACUGAAUUCAAAUUUUUUGUUAUAUGGAAGUUGGAGAACUUUGGAAUUAUGAAAUGUUAACACAAGUAAAAAUAUAAAGUCCGAUCUUUGAUAAGAAGAUACUUUGUCUUAGUCAGUUUGGACUGCUACAACAAAAUACCAAAGACGGGGUGGCUUCAACAACAGACAUUUAUUUUCUCACAGUUCUGGAGGCUGGGAAGUCUAAGAUCAAGGUACUGGCCGAUAUGGUUCUUGGUGAGGGCAUUCUUCCUACCUG
ensembl:lncRNA